GGGUUGUGAGGUUAAGCGACUAAGCGUACACGGUGGAUGCCCUGGCAGUCAGAGGCGAUGAAGGACGUGCUAAUCUGCGAUAAGCGCCGGUAAGGUGAUAUGAACCGUUAUAACCGGCGAUUUCCGAAUGGGGAAACCCAGUGUGACUCGUCACACUAUCAUUAACUGAAUCCAUAGGUUAAUGAGGCGAACCGGGGGAACUGAAACAUCUAAGUACCCCGAGGAAAAGAAAUCAACCGAGAUUCCCCCAGUAGCGGCGAGCGAACGGGGAGGAGCCCAGAGCCUGAAUCAGCAUGUGUGUUAGUGGAAGCGUCUGGAAAGGCGCGCGAUACAGGGUGACAGCCCCGUACACAAAAGCGCAUAUGCUGUGAGCUCGAUGAGUAGGGCGGGACACGUGGUAUCCUGUCUGAAUAUGGGGGGACCAUCCUCCAAGGCUAAAUACUCCUGACUGACCGAUAGUGAACCAGUACCGUGAGGGAAAGGCGAAAAGAACCCCGGCGAGGGGAGUGAAAAAGAACCUGAAACCGUGUACGUACAAGCAGUGGGAGCCCCACCACUAAGCCAGUGGUGAACUCCACAUACGCAUCCUUUGCUGAGGAUACGGUUAACGGAGCGAAAGCGACGUUCAACCGCAAAAGAAGCAGAGGGGGCUUAGUGGUGGGGUGACUGCGUACCUUUUGUAUAAUGGGUCAGCGACUUAUAUUCUGUAGCAAGGUUAACCGAAUAGGGGAGCCGGAGGGAAACCGAGUCUUAACCGGGCGUUAAGUUGCAGGGUAUAGACCCGAAACCCGGUGAUCUAGCCAUGGGCAGGUUGAAGGUUGGGUAACACUAACUGGAG
rnacentral:rRNA from 2 species